CAUCGGGGGGGUUUCGGGGGUCUUGCUGGCCAGGGGGGUGAUAGGUAGACAGGGUCGCUUAGCAGCUGUUUCUCCAUCCUCCCUCUCUUGCAUCACCACGGCAACCUCAGCCUUCAGGGCAGUGUAAAGAAACCCAUGCACACACUGACACACACACACACAGGACUGUAAGUUGAUUUUACACAAAUAUUCAAACCAAAUGCAAUCGGUUGAUAAAUGAAGGCCAGUGUGUGUGUGUGUGUGAGAGAGAUGCAGGUGGAAAGGGGACUCUAGAUGGAUAUAACCAGUUUCAGCUUGGUCAUUGCCAUUGAGGGGUUCCACCAUUUUAAAAUAGUCAACUGGGUGGAGACUACAAUGGGUUGGGAGCGAUCAGUCAACGAUCAGAGCAUUGUCUUCUUUUUCAAAUUGGGUUGCCUAUGGUUUAUAAAAUAUCACCGUCUAGUGGCCACAAUAAAUUAAUGACACACAAGAUUUGGUUCAGGACUCCAGAACUGCAGGUGGUGGUAAAUCAUCAACAUUAUCUUUACGCUUUCUUUUACAGAAAAGAAGAAGAAAAUUGACCACUUUAAAAUAGAGAUUGCUUCACUUGCGCUGGCCAUGCUGAGAAAAACAAAGAUGAUACAAAGAUGAGUCCUCUUUCUAACUCUAUGGUGUGUGCGUACCUCAGACUGUUUCUCCAUCCCGAUGGAGUGUGUGAGGUUUCUGCAGACAUCAGUGACUCUCUGUCUCCGUAGCGACGAGGCGCUCUCGUAUCCCGAUGGAACGGACAACAGGAAGUUAAAGACAAAGCUCAGAGAUUGGCUGAUCUCUAAUUCCAGAACUAAGCCCGCCCCUGCCAGAACACACACACGUUCCAACAGCUGGGCCAGGUGGGUACGCUCAAAACGUGUGUGUGUGUGAGCAGAUCCAAACACACACUGGGUCAGCUUCAGCAGCUCUCCCCCAUAUGUCUCUGGCUCAGGUGUGUGUGUGUCCAGCAGCAUCAGGUACGCUGUAAAAAACUCCUGACUCCGCCUCUCCGGGAACCCACCAAUCUCUGCCAACCGCCUCAGCAUCACCAUAGCAACCUUCCUUAACCGAGCACUCCCAUAGGCCAAGACCAAACAUCCCGCCUCCCAAGCCACCCCCAUCUCCCUGCGGUUGGCCAAUCCCCUGAGGGCAUCGGUCAGAACGUUCACUGUCACUGCAACCAAGGUUUCCAAGGCGGCAGGCGAGGGGAGGAGGAGUGGUGAGGGGGUGAGAUAAGGGGUGAGAGAGACAGAGAAAGACUGCAGGGUUACCGGCCACAAGGUGUGUGUGUUUGUAGAGUGUGUAUGUGUUCCUGGGGUGUGUGAGUGUGUGUGUGUGUAGAGCAGAUUGCUGAGGUCCUGGGCCAAUCCAAGCAUCUCUUUGGCGAUGACGUUGAAGGUGAUUGGUGCUCGCGGUCUGAGUGCGUGCAGUAGGGAGCAGAGCACGGCCGAGACACGUCCAUGGAUGACGUCACAGCUUGGAGAUGCGGCGACCCGCAGCAACCUGCCGACAACCCACCUACU
ensembl:lncRNA